AAAUAAGAAACAAAAUAUUGUAUUUAGUUUCGACCUAAAAUUUUGACUAAUGUCCUUAUUUU
rnacentral:tRNA from 1 species